UACGUAGGGGGCAAGCGUUGUCCGGAAUCAUUGGGCGUAAAGAGCGUGUAGGCGGUUCGGUAAGUCGGCUGUGAAAGUCCAGGGCUCAACCCUGGGAUGCCGGUCGAUACUGCCGGACUAGAGUUCGGAAGAGGCGAGUGGAAUUCCCGGUGUAGCGGUGAAAUGCGCAGAUAUCGGGAGGAACACCUAUGGCGAAGGCAGCUCGCUGGGACGUUACUGACGCUGAGACGCGAAGGCGUGGGGAGCAAACAGG
rnacentral:rRNA from 1 species